AGUGAACGCUGGCGGUAGGCCUAACACAUGCAAGUCGAACGGCAGCACAGUAAGCGCUUGCUCUUACGGUUGGCGAGUGGCGGACGGGUGAGGAAUACAUCGGAAUCUACUUUUUCGUGGGGGAUAACGUAGGGCCACUUACGCUAAUACCGCAUACGACCUACCGGUGAAAGCAGUGGAUCUUCGCACCUUGCGCGAUUGAAUGAGCCGAUGUCGGAUUAGCUAGUUGGCGGGGUAAGGGCCCACCAAGGCGACGAUACGUAGCUGGUCUGAGAGGAUGAUCAGCCACACUGGAACUGAGACACGGUCCAGACUCCUACGGGAGGCAGCAGUGGGGAAUAUUGGACAAUGGGCGCAAGCCUGAUGCAGCCAUGCCGCGUGAGUGAAGAAGGCCUUCGGGUUGUAAAGCCCUUUUGUUGGGAAAGAAAAGCAGCAGGUGAAUACCCCGCUGUUCUGACGGUACCUAAAGAAUAAGCACCGGCUAACUUCGUG
rnacentral:rRNA from 1 species